GGCUGGGUAGCAAAGUGGUAAUGCAGGGGACUGCAAAUCCUCGAUCGGGAGUUCGAUUCUCCCCCCGGCCUCCA
rnacentral:tRNA from 1 species